GAUGGAGAACGUAGCGAAAUGCGAUAAGUAAUGUGAAUUGCAGAAUUCAGUGAAUCAUCGAAUCUUUGAACGCACAUUGCGCCCGCCAGUAUUCUGGCGGGCAUGCCUGUCCGAGCGUCAUUUCAACCCUCGAACCCCUCCGGGGGGUCGGCGUUGGGGAUCGGCACUUACCUGCCGGCCCCGAAAUACAGUGGCGGUCUCGCCGCAGCCUCUCCUGCGCAGUAGUUUGCACACUCGCACCGGGAGCGCGGCGCGUCCACGGCCGUAAAACAACCCAAACUUCUGAAAUGUUGACCUCGGAUCAGGUAGGAAUACCCGCUGAACUUAAGCAUAUCAAAAGCGGAGGA
rnacentral:misc_RNA from 1 species